ensembl:lncRNA
AUGGCCAGUACUGGAUAUAUAAGGGGGAGGGUCGUUCACUGUGGCUUUGCCCUGUGGUGUCACCCCAUGUCCCCUUCCUCACACAGCUGUCUUCUGUUUGUCCCUGUACAAAUAGUCUCUAAGGUGGUGUCAGAAUGGUGUGCAUGUGGAAGAGGAGGAAGGUUGCGUAACAUUAGUGUGUUUGCGUAUGCAGUGGAACAACAUACACUCAACUCCAGCUACUCCCUCCAGGACAGUUACACAACACAAAGUGAAGACGGUGUGAGAGUUUUAAAAAGUCUUCUUACUCAUUUGCAUUUCUUGUAUACUAGGUACAAUUAGUGUAAGUAAAAAGAGAAAAAGGGAACCAUACUAAUGCCUCAAAUUAUCUGUUAAACGAUGUUCUGUUAAGAAAUGCAGUCAGGGAGUGGUGUAAGAUGCAUGGUUAGUUAACUACUAACGAACUAGAAUGAACACUACCAUUUCUCAUUUAAAAAACACACAUAUUACACAAACAGAAUGUGGAAGUGGAAGUGAGACUUGGAAUUCAAAAUGUCUUGCACGGAAUCUCCAUGGAGAAUUGUAUGUUGUGUGUAUGACUCUGUGGGUCUGGGGAGACCAUGUCAUCAUCAUGUUCAGUAGUCUUGGUAAGCAUAGCAAGUUAACAAGCAGCAGUGGCUAAUAAUAUACUUGGCCUUGGACAGGGUAGCAGGUAACAUGAGUCUAAACACUCCAUAUGACCUCAGCCAAAGCUGGUUUUUAAGGUACAGUGUGUGCACGUCUGUUACAGCUUGUACUUAUCUGCACAAUUUUUGUUUUAUCUCCUAGGUUUUACUUGCUGCAUAUUUUAUGUCACUUUUGAAUGCAUGUAAAUAUGCAUAUCUACUUGCAUGCUUGUAAAAAAGUGUUAGGUAGUGGGACAGGCAGGUCACCUGAAGUGGUGUGAAAUUUCAUUUUCAAUUCAUAUAAUAGCCUGACACUAUAUUUGGUAUUCCUGAAUGUCGCACAACACUUUGCACUAAUAGUGUCUAAUUACAUUAACUAACUGAAUUUACUGCAAUGCACUUGAUGCCUAAAUGCAUGGAAAAUGCAACUCUGCAGGUCUGUUAUGUGUCAGAAUGGCACGUGUCCAUCAAAUGAUGUUAUAGUUUGUCCAGUUGAGUCUAAGAUUGGAGAGAACAUAUGAAACAUUAGCUAAUCAACCAAUACUAACUGCUACCAAAAACUGCAGCAGUACCUAAGAAAUAGUGAAGCAUUUGAGUUUAUUUUGUAACUGAAUCAAGUAUGAGGUGAUGUCAGAAACGAAGACUUGUUUUUAUGAGUUUGUGUAUGUUUUUGUCAAACUCUCAUGACCCUCAUCUCUCUCUCUUUUCAACACUCCUGAAUCCCAUCCUCCGUCGCUCCCUCCAUGUCUCUGGGUUGUAUUGCAUUGACUCAGCAAAGAACUCGAUCAGUGAAGUUGAUAUAAAUCAGAAUUUGAUGUUAAUGAUUAAUGACAGAACUUAGCAUGAUGCAUAUGGAUACAGAUUAAGUAAACGAGUAGUAAAUUGAUUGUACACUAUAAAACUUUUCAAUAACUGUACAGCAUUAUAUUUCAAUUGCUUUUAAUGAGUUUAAUGAGUUUCACUCUAUGUGAGAAUGCCACAUGAACUUGAGAACCACACAAUCCAACUCAAAAUGUUUCAUAUGUUAUACACGGCAAGAAUAUACUUACAGACUUUCCCCUUUCAUAUCCAUCGUAGUGUGAGCCUGCUAAUGUAACUACAGAUAAUUAUUCUGACACCUUGGUUCAUACUGUUUCACUCUCUAAGUGUGUGACUGCAGUCUAGAUACUUACAUAAGUACAUAAGGAGUGUAUCGUGUCUACACUUGGCAUGUGUUGCAUAAAAUGUGAUAUGAUCGAGUGAGUGUAUUAAUGUGCAUCUCAGUGAGUCCACCAGUACACAGUGUGCCUGCAAUUUAACACAUUAUUUAUAUAAUUAUGGAGGAUUUCUCUCUCUAAAUAAUUAUACAGUGCAUAUGAAAUACUAUUAUUUUUUUGAAGAUUUGGUAAAUAUUUUACUGCAUUGUUGAUGUGCAUUUAUGAAAUCCAUAGACAGAAGAUUAUAAUGCUGUGUAUUAUAGAUUAAAAUAUUGACAGCAUAAUUGAACAUUUCUGAAAAGUCUAUUUCGAAGAAAAAUAUAUUAACCCAACAUUUUUUAUUUUGUGACACAUUCUUAUUCUCGCUCUCUGUGAUUGUAGCCAGUGGACUUUUCUCAUGAAAUGAGUACCUGACUGAACUAUAAUUGCUGGUUCAACACAUUUAUGUGGAUUUACUGAUGUUUGUGUGGCUUCAGUAAGACGUAGAAUGUUAUUCUGUGCUCAGGAAGCAGAUGUACAUCAUAUAAAGUGAUGCAUUGUUAUUAUUUGUGUUUCAGAUCCUGUAGAUACAGAAUUCUAGAACUGCCAAUCAGUAGAGACAGAACAACCAACAACUCUCCCUGAUGGCCACCUGCUGCCACUGCAAUCUGAAAACAAGAAAGGAGAGUGAUGUGAGGAUUAUGAGAAUGUGAUAAAACAAGAAAUGAGAUGAUAGAAUAUGUUGUUAAGCAGUUAUUAAUCAAUAAAUGAAUUAAAUCAUGAGGGAGUUGUGUUGUU